ACUUAAAAGGAGCAGAUAAGACCCUUCUUUGUCACGAUGACAGCUCUGCCUGGCGUCACCCACCAUUUCUCAGGUCAUCCUGUGUCACAGGGUUGCAUCUGAUUAUUUUUGCACAUAGGUUUGAAAUGUAUGAAAGAUGGUCUGAAUUUCUCGGCCCUCCUCUCGAGCAAAGCUAGUAGCACAGACCGCGGCAGGCCGUUCUUCUAUCUCUGCGAGCCGGGAGGUGAAAAGCUAAGGAAAGCCUGCUCUUAUCCCCAUUUUUACACGAGGUUCUAGAAUCUGCCAGGGAACAACCUGCUUAAACCUGUCUCAGCAUAAUUAUGAACAUCUCCCUUUGCUCUGCAAAGGGACAGCUGGACAGUGGAUUAUAUAGUUCUCCGAGGUACAGAGGACAUUGCAUUCAUUCCAGCCGCAUUCUUACCAGAUGUGCAGAGAGCCUGGUGAGGCUGGAGAGGCGGAGGGUGAGAAAGGGAAGUGACUCGUCCACGCUCACCCGGUGAGUCAAUAGUAGAGCAAUUAAUGAGAAUCCAAGAGCUUUGACUAAGGAGCGACUCACCCCUGACCCCGCCCUGCUAAAGGAAUAGAACGGACACAAACUGGUUGAAACAGCACCGGUGCCAAGACGUGAGUAAAGCGGUGGGGAGAAGAUUAGCAACCGAAAAUAACUGGAAGACAAAGGGAAUCCCUCAAAAUGUGCUGGUUGAGAAGAGAGUGCCUGCGUGCCCAUGCACUUGAACAGGCUUUAGGAUGUAGGGGCGGGCCCGAAUAAUAUUGUACAGCUCCCAUCCGAGUGGAAGCUCAGCAGCUGCCAGAUGAUGGUUUUUGUCGCCUCCUGUGAUGGCACUGGAGUCCUUUGCAGUAGCAUCUUUCCGUGCGCCUCGGCUGCACAGGUGGCAGUGGAAGGAGUAGUCUUUAUGUGGAAUGUGCUGUCCUCUUAGAAGGUGCCAGGAGAGCAAAUGACCAAGCUGAACCACAGAAUCGCAUUAAAAUUUCUGCUUAUAAUGGCAUGUAUCAUGUCUGUUCACAUGUCCGUCAAAGUCAACCACAUGAUCAAGCUGGACAACGAAGGGGCAAGUAUACUUGACCUAUAAGGAGUUCUG